AAGGGAUUAUCAUUCUUUAAGAAAUGCUUGCAACGUCUUACAACGAAUGGCUGAGCAAAAUCAUUUCAAAGUAUAACUCUCUAAAAACUCUUAAUUAAAAGGUAAAUUGUGUUGUUUUCUCAUACACAACAUUAUUAUCAAUUUCAUGUAAGCUUGCUGGCUUCAUGCGUGUUGCUAAUUUGACCGUCUGACAUGAAAAUAACCGUGAAUUACAAAGGUAGCAAAAUGAGUUUCAGGCUACAGAGUUUCAAGCUUCUUCCAGGCCGUUAGGGGGCGAAAUGUGCUACUGUGUUGACUGCCAAGCCAAGAUAUUUGCAGGACGCACAAAACGAAGAGGCAGCUAUGUCUGAAGCCAUUUGGAGGAGAAGUAGCCACGCUGUAACACCAGCUGUUCGUCUGGUAAGAUAACCAUCCACAAAUUUCACUGCAGCCUCAUUAAUAUAACUCGGCAUGUUUCCUACUGCUGAAUAAUCGAAUACAGGGACUUUUAACCUUCAUAGUACUAAAACAAAAGAUGACACCUUUAUUCAUUGCUGAGACGAACCAUUGCUUCAGAUUUUAGUCUGUAAAUGUUAUUCACACAUUAACUAAAAGCUACUUGUUGAUACACUCUCUGUGAAAAUAUAACUUAUUGUUUUAUAUAAUUUGAGCCGAAUUAAACUCUGUGACAUGUGGCCACAACUAUGAAAGAGUUGGUCUCUUACAUUUUUUUUUUUGUUGUUGUUGUUUUUGGUGUUGCGUUAAGAGACAUUAAAUAAUAUCUAUUUAAAAUCAGAUUUGCAUCUCAGCCGUCACUCAGUUUGCUCAUAUUCAGCAUAAAUCAGUCUGAUAUUCAGCAUAACUCUGGGCCUUGUGACCACGUGGUUAGCCUGCCUGGUUCAUUAGCAUGUAGCAGACACUGUAACGUGAGCAGAAGUGCUGAGGGUUUCAGGAAAAUGUAAACGAUUGAUGUCUAAAUCUCAAACACGCGAUUUCUAACCUCGAGUUGAGGAAAGUAACUGCAUUGUGCUGUCUCUUUCCUGAUGACUUGCACUGGGCUCUGACCUCUUAUGGAGACUACGUGCAUCUUUGGCCCUGACAAGCCAACGUGUCUGAAAAGAAACUGAUUAAAGCUGUUCAGAAGGAAGGACCGGUUAUUAUGUCAACACUAACUUGUGCUUAUUUCUCCUACAGCUUACCCAAAAGAAGUAAAACCUCCAAAUUCUGCAUUGAUUCAGUAAGGUAUGUCAGGAUCUUUGAACCCUCGUAUUUAUCACUUUAUCCUAAAGCAACAGAGCUCUUCUUCUGUGCACAUUUUAGAUAUCUGUAGCUUAAUCUCAUGGUGGUUACUUGUUGAGGAUUAGCAUUUAUAGAAGUAAAAUGUGUGUAAUUUGUGACCACUGGAGGGCAGAGGAUGGAUGCAGUUAUACCAGACACACCAACACUUGCAGAUAAAUGUAAAAAGAAAUUCCAGUUUCGUCCCUCUCCCCUGAUGACUCGCACUGGGCUCUGAGUUUUUAUGGAGACAACGUGCAUCUUUGGCCCUGACAAGCCAAAGUUUCUGAGGAGAAGAUCUGCAACACUAGAGCUGAUCCAAGCUGCUUCAGAGCAGCACAAUGAAGUAGAUAGAAGUUAACAUUACAACUCAAUAACUCAAAUGUUUGUUUUAUAGGUGUUUGAGGGUUGUAGCUGCUCAUGGACCAGACUUGAAGCAGGUUUGUAUGAUUGUAAUGCUUCACUCCGCACAUGUUGAUCUCUUGUGAUGUCUUGCACUGGGCUCAGAAAAUCAGUGAUGACAGAAGUGCAGCUCUACCCCUGACAAGGCAGAGUCUGAGGAGAUGACUGUUGAUAAAAAUAUCCUUAAAGCAAGUAGGAUCCUUUUUCAGUUGAGCAGUUUUGACUGACUGCUGUGUUUUUUCUUUUUUCAGGUACUAGUCCUUCAACAGACAAGUCUGCAAAUUUGUUUUAAACGUAAGUUUGUGUCACAUAGAUUUAGUUGUAUUCUGUAAUCACUCUGAUUAAGCCAAUAAAACCUUAGUAUUUGAACUCUCUUGUUUUUGUCUUUAUUGAUAUGACCAGUGCAUCAUUUGACGUAAUAACUUGCUACCACUCUACUGGGUUACCAAUAGAUGAUAGAAUCUGAUAUUAUGUACUGUUUGAUAAAAAAAGAUGGCAUUACCAUUGUUUUGAUUAAAAAAAAAAAACAUACAGGUACAUCCCAACAGAUUGGAAUCUGUUGCUUUCCAUCUGCUUUCGUAGUGAUUUUACAUAAACAAGUUCAAACCCAAGACUAAGUGAGUCAGUCAACUUUUUUUUUUUUUUUCAUCAAGUGGACUUCACUGUAGCUUAAAUUCAUUUGAUUGAUCCUUGGAAAUAUUUUGAAGUACUGUUUUCUGAUGCA
rnacentral:lncRNA from 1 species